CGGGCGCGGUGGUGCCUACCUGUAGUCCCAGCUACUCGGGAGACUGAGGUGGGAGGAUCGCUUGAGCUCAGGAUUUCUGGGCUGUAGUGGGCUAUGCCAGUCGGGUGUCCGCACAAAGUUCGGCAUCAAUAUGGUGACCUCCCGGGAGCGGGGGACCACCAGGUUGCCUAAAGAGGGGUGAACGGGCCCAGGUCGGAAAUGGAGCAGGUCAAAACUCCAGUGCUGAUCAGUAGUGGGAUUGCGCCUGUGAAUAGCCACUGUACUCCAGCCUGGAGAACAUAGGGAGACCCGGUCUCUU
rnacentral:SRP_RNA from 1 species